UCAUAAUGUCGCUCAACAUAAAGAACAGGAGAAAGGAGGGAAACUUACAGUUCAGUCAACAGCGGAAAAUGGAUUUGUGGAAAAGCGUGUUGCCAAUCAAGGGGAAUUUCACUGGAUUUCUACGCUGUGGUUUGUCUGUCAAGCGAAAGGUCUUUACGCCGAUACGUGUAAAAGGUCUGUAACAUGUGAAGCUGGCUGAUUCUUUGAACUACUUCCCUGUUUGAGAUAACUAACUUUAAUAAAGAAAAGUGUUUUUA